rnacentral:rRNA from 1 species
UACGGGGGGGGCAAGCGUUGUUCGGAAUUACUGGGCGUAAAGGGCUUGUAGGUGGCCAACUAAGUCAGACGUGAAAUCCCUCGGCUUAACCGGGGAACUGCGUCUGAUACUGGAUGGCUUGAGUGUGGGAGAGGGAUGCGGAAUUCCAGGUGUAGCGGUGAAAUGCGUAGAUAUCUGGAGGAACACCGGUGGCGAAGGCGGCGACCUGGUCCUUGACUGACGCUGAGGCGCGAAAGUGUGGGGAGCGAACAGG